CUGCUACUAGUGAUGUCAUCGUGAAGUCCACUGAACCUUAUCAUUUAAAGAUGGAAGAAGUCGUAACAAGGUUUCCGUAGGUGAACCUGCGGAAGGAUCAUUGUCGAUGCCUAUCAAACUGGACGACCCGCGAAUCGGUUAAGACCACCGGGGAGGCGGAGGGCGUGCGUCGCCCCGAGCCCCCCCGCCCGGGGACGCUUGCAGUCUUGCGCUGCUUGUGCUCGCCCGGCAAAAUAACAAACCUCGGCGCCGGACGCGUCAAGGAACUCGAACGAACUAGCGUGCUCCCGGCGGCCCGGAGACGGCCCCCGCCUGGAGAGCGUCGCGACGAUUGUAUCCAAAACGACUCUCGGCAACGGAUAUCUCGGCUUUUGCAUCGAUGAAGAACGUAGCGAAAUGCGAUACUUGGUGUGAAUUGCAGAAUCCCGUGAACCAUCGAGUCUUUGAAUGCAAGUUGCGCACGAGGCCAUUAGGUCGAGUGCACGUCUGUUUGGGCGUCAUGUAGCGUCAUUCCAAUCUCCCUCAUGCGACGAGUGCAUUUUGGGUUAUGAUGGAUAUGGAGAAUGACCUUCCGUGAGUGAUUGUCGUCCAGUUAUAUGCGAGGCGAAUGGUGUGUCGAGUUAACGCACGAUGUCUGCGAGGCAUGACUUAGCACUAGCUAAAACCGAUUUCGAUGUUUGCUUUCGUAGCAGGCUCGGACCAUGACCUCAGAUCAGACGGGGCGACCCGCUGAGUUUAAGCAUAUCUUUUGCGCGGAGGAA
rnacentral:rRNA from 1 species